GGUAAGGUAACGGCUUACCAAGGCAACGAUGCAUAGCCGACCUGAGAGGGUGAUCGGCCACACUGGAACUGAGACACGGUCCAGACUCCUACGGGAGGCAGCAGUAGGGAAUCUUCCGCAAUGGGCGAAAGCCUGACGGAGCAACGCCGCGUGAGUGAUGAAGGUCUUCGGAUCGUAAAACUCUGUUAUUAGGGAAGAACAUAUGUGUAAGUAACUGUGCACAUCUUGACGGUACCUAAUCAGAAAGCCACGGCUAACUACGUGCCAGCAGCCGCGGUAAUACGUAGGUGGCAAGCGUUAUCCGGAAUUAUUGGGCGUAAAGCGCGCGUAGGCGGUUUUUUAAGUCUGAUGUGAAAGCCCACGGCUCAACCGUGGAGGGUCAUUGGAAACUGGAAAACUUGAGUGCAGAAGAGGAAAGUGGAAUUCCAUGUGUAGCGGUGAAAUGCGCAGAGAUAUGGAGGAACACCAGUGGCGAAGGCGACUUUCUGGUCUGUAACUGACGCUGAUGUGCGAAAGCGUGGGGAUCAAACAGGAUUAGAUACCCUGGUAGUCCACGCCGUAAACGA
rnacentral:rRNA from 1 species